GACGAACGCUGGCGGCGUGCCUAAUACAUGCAAGUAGAACGCUGAAGGAGGAGCUUGCUUCUCUGGAUGAGUUGCGAACGGGUGAGUAACGCGUAGGUAACCUGCCUGGUAGCGGGGGAUAACUAUUGGAAACGAUAGCUAAUACCGCAUAAUAGUAGAUGUUGCAUGACAUUUGCUUAAAAGGUGCAAUUGCAUCACUACCAGAUGGACCUGCGUUGUAUUAGCUAGUUGGUGGGGUAACGGCUCACCAAGGCGACGAUACAUAGCCGACCUGAGAGGGGGAUCGGCCACACUGGGACUGAGACACGGCCCAGACUCCUACGGGAGGCAGCAGUAGGGAAUCUUCGGCAAUGGACGGAAGUCUGACCGAGCAACGCCGCGUGAGUGAAGAAGGGUUUCGGAUCGGAAAGCUCUGUUGUAAGAGAAGAACGAGUGUGAGAGUGGAAAGUUCACACUGUGACGGUAUCUUACCAGAAAGGGACGGCUAACUACGUG
rnacentral:rRNA from 1 species